GAUGAAGAACGUAGCGAAAUGCGAUAAGUAAUGUGAAUAGCAGAAUUCAGUGAAUCAUCGAAUCUUUGAACGCACAUUGCGCCCCUUGGUAUUCCGAGGGGCAUGCCUGUUCGAGCGUCAUUAUAACCCUCAAGCUCAGCUUGGUGUUGGGGCCUGCUGCACUGGCAGCCCUUAAAAUCAGUGGCGGCGCCAUCUGGCUCUAAGCGUAGUAAUUCUUCUCGCUAUGGAGUCCUGGUGGAUGCUUGCCAUCAACCCCCAAUUUUUCUAUGGUUGACCUCGGAUCAGGUAGGGAUACCCGCUGAACUUAAGCAUAUCAAUAAGCGGAGGA
rnacentral:misc_RNA from 1 species